UACGUAGGGUGCGAGCGUUGUCCGGAAUUACUGGGCGUAAAGAGCUCGUAGGUGGUUUGUCGCGUUGUUCGUGAAAUCUCACGGCUUAACUGUGAGCGUGCGGGCGAUACGGGCAGACUGGAGUACUGCAGGGGGAGACUGGAAUUCCUGGUGUAGCGGUGGAAUGCGCAGAUAUCAGGAGGAACACCGGUGGCGAAGGCGGGUCUCUGGGCAGUAACUGACGCUGAGGAGCGAAAGCGUGGGGGAGCGAACAGG
rnacentral:rRNA from 1 species